AUUGAACGCUGGCGGCAUGCUUUACACAUGCAAGUCGAACGGUAACAGGCCGCAAGGUGCUGACGAGUGGCGAACGGGUGAGUAAUGUAUCGGAACGUGCCCAGUCGUGGGGGAUAACUACUCGAAAGAGUAGCUAAUACCGCAUACGAUCUAUGGAUGAAAGCGGGGGACCGUAAGGCCUCGCGCGAUUGGAGCGGCCGAUGUCAGAUUAGGUAGUUGGUGGGGUAAAGGCUCACCAAGCCAACGAUCUGUAGCUGGUCUGAGAGGACGACCAGCCACACUGGGACUGAGACACGGCCCAGACUCCUACGGGAGGCAGCAGUGGGGAAUUUUGGACAAUGGGCGCAAGCCUGAUCCAGCAAUGCCGCGUGCAGGAAGAAGGCCUUCGGGUUGUAAACUGCUUUUGUACGGAACGAAACGGCUCUGGUUAAUACCCGGGGCUAAUGACGGUACCGUAAGAAUAAGCACCGGCUAACUACGUG
rnacentral:rRNA from 1 species